AACAAACAAAAAGAAAACAACAACAACAAAAAGAGUCACUUGUUUUUGUAAUUCUAGUAGUCAAAAGAAAUUAGUUACAUGCUACUUUCAUCAUUUACAAUU
rnacentral:ribozyme from 1 species